rnacentral:rRNA from 1 species
UACCAGCUCUCCGAGUGGUAGGGAUGAUUAUUGGGCUUAAAGCGUCCGUAGGCGGCUUAGCAAGUCUCCUGUUAAAUUCAGCGACCUAAUCGUUGAGCCGCGGGAGAUACUACUAGGCUAGGAGGCGGGAGAGGUCAACGGUACUUCCGGGGUAGGGGUGAAAUCCUAUAAUCCCGGGAGGACCACCAGUGGCGAAGGCUGUUGACUAGAACGCGCUCGACGGUGAGGGACGAAAGCUGGGGGAGCGAACCGGAUUAGAUACCCGGGUAGUCCCAGCUGUAAACGAUGCGAGCUAGGUGUUGGGGUGGCUACGUGCCACUUCAGUGCCGCAGGGAAGCCAUUAAGCUCGCCGCCUGGGGAGUACGGCCGCAAGGCUAGAAACUUAAAGGAAUUGGGCGGGGGAGCACCACAAGGCGUGAAGCUUGCGGUUC